rnacentral:rRNA from 1 species
GUGUUGAUCCUGGCUCAGAUUGAACGCUGGCGGCAGGCCUAACACAUGCAAGUCGAACGGUAACAGGAAGCAGCUUGCUGCUUUGCUGACGAGUGGCGGACGGGUGAGUAAUGUCUGGGAAACUGCCUGAUGGAGGGGGAUAACUACUGGAAACGGUGGCUAAUACCGCAUAACGUCGCAAGACCAAAGAGGGGGACCUUCGGGCCUCUUGCCAUCAGAUGUGCCCAGAUGGGAUUAGCUUGUUGGUGAGGUAACGGCUCACCAAGGCGACGAUCCCUAGCUGGUCUGAGAGCCACGACCAGCCACACUGGAACUGAGACACGGUCCAGACUCCUACGGGAGGCAGCAGUGGGGAAUAUUGCACAAUGGCGCAAGCCUGAUGCAGCCAUGCCGCGUGUAUGAAGAAGGCCUUCGGGUUGUAAAGUACUUCAGCGGGAGGAAGGUGUUGUGGUUAAUAACCGCAGCAAUUGAC